GCAUUUGUUCCGUAAGGUUCAGAUGUGGAAACCGGCGAACGGGUGCGUAACACGUGAGAAACCUGCCCCCUUGACCGGGAUAGCCCGAGGAAACUCGGAUUAAUACCGGAUACUCUCUUUGGAUCGCAUGAUCCGCUGAGGAAACAGUCCGCUGCUAGGGGAUGGUCUCGCGGCCUAUCAGGUAGUUGGUGAGGUAACGGCUCACCAAGCCUAAGACGGGUAGCUGGUCUGAGAGGACGAUCAGCCACACUGGAACUGAGACACGGUCCAGACUCCUACGGGAGGCAGCAGCAGGGAAUAUUGCACAAUGGGCGAAAGCCUGAUGCAGCGACACCGCGUGCGGGAUGACGGCCUUAGGGUUGUAAACCGCUUUCAGGAGGGAAGAAAAUGACGGUACCUCCAGAAGAAGCUCCGGCCAACUACGUGCCAGCAGCCGCGGUAAUACGUAGGGAGCAAACGUUGUCCGGAUUUAUUGGGCGUAAAGGGCUCGUAGGCGGUUCAACAAGUCGAUCGUGAAAGCCAGGGGCUCAACCCCUGGAGGCCGGUCGAAACUGUUGU
rnacentral:rRNA from 1 species